AGUUAUCCACUGCCAUCCUCGUCGCUGCGGCGACUCCCACACCCGCCGUCAACAUGACUGAACAGAUGACCCUUCGUGGCACCCUCAAGGGCCACAACGGCUGGAUAACUCAAAUUGCGACCAUUUCGCAGUUCCCAGAUAUGAUACUGUCCGCCUCGCGAGAUAAGACCAUCAUCAUGUGGAAGCUGACCCGAGAUGAAACCAACUAUGACAUCCCUCAGCGUGCUCUGCAUGGCCACUCCCACUUUGUUAGUGAUGUGGUCAUCUCCUCUGAUGGCCAGUUUGCCCUUUCUGGUUCCUGGGAUGGAAUGCUACACCUCUGGGAUCUCACAACGGGUACUACCACACGCAGAUUUGUAGGGCAUACAAAGGAUGUGCUGAGUGUGGCCUUCUCUUCUGACAACCAGCAAAUUGUCUCAGGAUCCAGAGAUAAAACCAUCAAGCUAUGGAAUACUCUGGGUGUCUGCAAGUACACUGUCCAGGAUGAGAGUCACUCGGAGUGGGUGUCUUGUGUCCGCUUCUCACCCAACAGCAGCAACCCCAGCAUCGUCUCCUGUGGCUGGGACAAGUUGGUCAAGGUGUGGAACCUGGCUAACUACAAGCUGAAAACCAACCACAUUGGCCACACAGGCUACCUGAACACUGUGACUGUCUCUCCAGAUGGAUCCCUCUGUGCUUCUGGAGGCGAGGAUGGCCAGGCCUCAAUGAAGGCAAGCAUCUCUACACUUUAGAUGGUGGUGACAUCAUCAAUGCCCUGUGCUUCAGUCCUAACCGCUACUGGCUCUAUGCUGCCACAGGUCCCAGUAUCAAGAUUUGGGACUUGGGGGGCAAGAUCAUUGUAGAUGAACUGAAGCAAGAAGUUCUCAGCAACAGCAGCAAAGCUGCACCUCUCUGGCCUGGUCUGCUGAUGGCCAGGCUCUGUUUUCUGGCUACACAGACAAUCUGGUGCGAGUGUGGCAAGUGACCAUUGGCACUCGGUAG